CAGGAGCCGGGCUCUGCUCCCACAGGCUUUGGGUACCCAGGGAUGGGGCUGCACCGUCCUUGCACCCUGGUGCUCCCUGGGAUGUGUCCCCCGAGCUGGAGUGAAAGCUGUUCCAGAGCCCUUGGGGCUGCCCUGCCCUUCCCAUCACUGGAGGAUGCCCACUUUGUGCUUCAACCAGCAGUUCUCUACCACUGAUUUAAAGCAUGGGACCUGUGUGCCAGCACCAAAAAUUGGGGGAAAUCUCCUUGGAUGCAGGCACUGGGAUAGCAGGUUUCCACCCAGCCAGGUGGUCCCGGGAUGUGCAGAUCCAGAAGUGCAGAGGUGGAAAAUCACCUGUACCCAGAUCUGCUUGCCCU